UCAAGUCCAAACAUGAACUUAUGAACUCUAGCUUCCUAUUUUUCCUUCGCGAUAGCAGUAGACGCAGCGCAUGUACAUGGCUGAGUAACCUGGAAGUUUUGUAACUCCUCCCAUAACUUAGAUAGACGACCAUAAUAUUGCAAGACUGUAUCCCCGUUUUGUUUGCAAUUUGUGAUAUCAUCUUGUAGAAGAUGCUUACGAACCCCGUUAGUAACAGAGAAACGUAGCUUAAGAGAUUCCUAAAGUAGAUAAGCAUCAGGUACAUGACUGACAGUAUAACGCACCGUAGGGUCGAUCAAAGUUCGUAUCCAACCAACGAUGAUAGAAUUAGCUGAAGUCCACUGAGCAAGAUUAGGAUUCGUCAAUGGUUUUGGGAUAGAACCAU
rnacentral:lncRNA from 1 species